rnacentral:rRNA from 1 species
AACGAACGCUGGCGGCAUGCCUAACACAUGCAAGUCGAACGAAGGCUUCGGCCUUAGUGGCGCACGGGUGCGUAACGCGUGGGAAUCUGCCCUUUGGUUCGGAAUAACAGCUGGAAACGGCUGCUAAUACCGGAUGAUGACGAAAGUCCAAAGAUUUAUCGCCAGAGGAUGAGCCCGGGUUGGAUUAGGUAGUUGGUGGGGUAAAGGCCUGCCAAGCCGCCGAUCCAUAGCUGGUCUGAGAGGAUGAUCAGCCACACUGGGACUGAGACACGGCCCAGACUCCUACGGGAGGCAGCAGGAGGGAAUAUAGGACAAUGGGCGCAAGCCUGAUCCAGCAGUGCCGCGUGAGUGAUGAAGGCCCUAGGGUUGUAAAGCUCUUUUACCCGGGAAGAUAAUGACGGUACCGGGAGAAUAAGCCCCGGCUAACUCCGUG